rnacentral:rRNA from 1 species
AGUAUUUUGACUAUACAAAGGUAUUGAAAUAAGACUUUAAUUGAGUGCUAAGAGAAUGGAAUUUCAUAAAAUUUCUUUUUUAAUUUUAAAAAUUGAAAUUAAUUUUAUAUGUGAAGAAACAAUAAUAAAAAUUAAGGACAAGAAGACCCUAAGAAUUUUAAAAAUUUCAAUAAAAUACAGCAUUUUAUUGAAAUUUUUUAAUUGGGGCGAUUAUUAAAUAUUAAAAACUUUAAUUUUUUUAAAAAAGAACCAAUAAUAUUGGUUAUUUGAAAAAAUACUCUAGGGAUAACAGCGUAAUAAUUUUUGAUAGUUCUUAUAGACAAAAUAGUUUGCGACCUCGAUGUUGGAUUAGGAUUCUUUUUUAAUGAAGAAGUUAAAAAAAGAAGUUUGUUCAACUUUUAAAAUCCU